rnacentral:rRNA from 1 species
AAACCAACAGGGAUUGCCUCAGUAACGGCGAGUGAAGCGGCAACAGCUCAGAUUUGGAAUCUGGCCCCCUCGGGGGCCCGAGUUGUAAUCUGGAGAGGAUGCUUCUGGCGCGGCGCCUGGCGAGUUCCCUGGAACGGGACGCCGGAGAGGGUGAGAGCCCCGUACUCCAGGACGCCUAGCCUCUGUGAAGCUCCUUCGACGAGUCGAGUAGUUUGGGAAUGCUGCUCUAAAUGGGAGGUAAAUUUCUUCUAAAGCUAAAUACCGGCCAGAGACCGAUAGCGCACAAGUAGAGUGAUCGAAAGAUGAAAAGCACUUUGAAAAGAGGGUCAAACAGUACGUGAAAUUGUUGAAAGGGAAGCGCCCGUGGCCAGACUUGCGCCCCGCGGCUCACCCGGCGGACUCCGCCGGGGCACGCCGCGGGGUGCAGGCCAGCAUCGGCUCUUCCAGGGGGACAAGGACGGCGGGAACGUGGCUCCUCCGGGAGUGUUAUAGCCCGCCGCGCCAUGCCCCUGGGGGGGCCGAGGACCGCGCUUCGGCAAGGAUGCUGGCGUAAUGGCCACCGGC